CCUACAGCAACCGAGGACAGACAGGGCUGUGCAAUCCGUGCAUCCAGGCUUGCAUUCCCUGAGGUGAUGCAGCAAUAAAAGAGCUUGCUCACCGCGGAUGGCAUGAUGUGAGGUCCUGAGGUAUCAAAUUUCUUCGGUGUUCUAUAUAGUACACUUGCAAGUUCCAACUGGAAGCAACAGAGGGAGCAGUAGAUCUGGGCAUAGACUCCACUACUGUGGGAAAUAAAACAAAGGAUCUGAGCGGUGGGCAUAUCAACGGCAAUCCUAGCUCCGCGGUUUCAGGAAAUUAUUUUCCGUUGACAAAGUACAAGUCCAAAUGAACUUCUAUGGUUAUAGCAAAAAAAAAUCUUUUUCUUGGUUACCUUGAAUCGGUGUCAAUUUCAUCUCCAUGGCACGAGAAAUUAAUGAGCGAUAUAGUCACUGAGAAUCAGUGUCAACUUCAUCUGAGGAGUUUCAGAUGGCGAGAGGGU
rnacentral:lncRNA from 1 species